GGCUACUAUUUGCUUUCUGGUAGAUGUCUGUACUCUUUGCACUCCAUCUAUAGGCCUGUUUUGUACCAUGUAAUGUAUUGGGCCGUGAUGCUUCUGGGUUCUGCUCUUCUCAGAUACACUGUGAUUUUACUGUGGUCAGAGAGAGGUGUUAGUGGGCUGACUGUGAAGGCUCUGAGAGAGGUGUUAUGGGCUGACUGUGAAGGCUCUGAGAGAGGUGUUAGUGGGCUGACUGUGAAGGCUCAGAGAGGUGUUAGUGGGCUGACAGUGAAGGCUCAGAGAGACUCUGGGUUUAGGACGGUGAGGAAGUAGUCUACAAUGCUGCUGCCAAGGGAUGAGCUGUAGGUGUACCC
ensembl:lncRNA